GCGCGAAAACUUUACAAUGCAGGCAACUGUGAUAAGGGAACCCCGAGUGCCCGUAUGGACGGGCUGUUCAGGUGCUUAAAAACCACCUGGAGAAAGGGCCGGGCAAGACCGGUGCCAGCCGCCGCGGUAAUACCGGCGGCUCGAGUGGUGGCCACUAUUACUGGGCUUAAAGCGUCCGUAGCUUGGUCGUUAAGCCUCUGGGGAAAUCUUCCGGCUCAACCGGAAGGCGUCUCAGGGGAACCUGGCGACCUAGGGAUCGGGAGAGGUGAGAGGUACUCUGGGGUAGGAGUGAAAUCCUGUAAUCCUCAGGGGACCACCUGUGGCGAAGGCGUCUCACCAGAACCGACUCCGACAGUGAGGGACGAAAGCUGGGGGAGCAAACCGGAUUAGAAACCCCGUGUA
rnacentral:rRNA from 1 species